rnacentral:sRNA from 1 species
UUAGUUUCAGGGACAGAGUCCAUGUCUCAUACCGGACAAGGACGGCUUGCAGAGGAACUCAGUAAGGAACAUCAGAUGAAGUUGGAUGAAGCCUAUCAUUGCCUGCCCUGAAGUCAUCAGUUGAAGCUCUCUUGCCUGAGGAUACCUGAAGUGAAAGGGACAGAGUCCAUGUCUCAUACCGGACAAGGACGGCUUGCAGAGGAACUCAGUAAGGAACAUCAGAUGAAGUUGGAUGAAGCCUAUCAUUGCCUGCCCUGAAGUCAUCAGUUGAAGCUCUCUUGCCUGAGGAUACCUGAAGUGAAAGGGACAGAGUCCCUGUCUCAUACCGGA